rnacentral:rRNA from 1 species
CCUACGGGUGGCAGCAGUGAGGAAUAUUGGUCAAUGGGCGGAAGCCUGAACCAGCCAAGUAGCGUGCGGGAUGAAGGCCCUACGGGUCGUAAACCGCUUUUGCACGGGGAUAACACCCUCCACUUGUGGAGGUCUGCAGGUACCGUGCGAAUAAGGGCCGGCUAAUUCCGUUCCAGCAGCCGCGGUAAUAGGGAAGGCCAGAGCGAUAUCCGGAUUCAUUGGGCUUAACGGGAGCGUAGGCGGGCGUGCAAGUCAACUGUAAAAUCGCGCGGCUCAACCGCGCCCCGCAGUUGAAACUGGACGCCUUGAGUUCACAACAGGGAGGCGGAAUUCGAGGUGUAGCGGUGAAAUGCGUAGAUAUCACGAGGAACCCCGGUUGCGAAGGCAGCCUCCCGG